UUUAUUUAUUAAUUUGUUUUUAAUUUGUUUUAUUUUAUAAAUAAAUUAACGUGAUUUUAUAACUCACGUAAUGAUGAUAAUUAUCCUAUUAUUUAUACGUACUCACUGAGUACUAUUAAGGAUUUGGCUAUGAAUCCAUUUAGUUGAAAUACCUUAUUUAGAUACAACUUUUAUAAAAAGUAUCUGGGUCUUUAAAUUAUAACAAAUCUAACAUUUUAAAAUGUAUAACUAAUCAAUAUUUCAUCAUAUAUAUUCAAUCGAUUUCAAAUUGGAUUAUUUAAUUAAACAUUUGAUCAGUGUUUGUAUAUUUUUAUUCUUCUGUUUCUGAUAUUUUACGGUAGAUCCAUAUUAAAUAUCUCAUUAAUUACAAAUUAUUAUUACUAUCAUUAUUUUUUUUUUUUUUUUAGAAAAAGUUGCGGCCAAUGUGGCGAAUAAUUACAUAUCAUUUAUCAAUAAAACAAAUGCCACAGUUACUGUUGAAGCAUUCUGUGACAAAAAUAUUAAGGAAACGCAUUACGGCCCAUUUCUUAAGACAAUUUUUGAAGCUAAACAAUAAUUGAUUUUAAAAAUUUUGUUUAAUCAUUAUAAGAUAAAAAUAAAUUAAAUUGUAUAACACAAUAUUAUAUCAUAUUAUUAUGUAUACCUAUUAGCUUGAUUAUAAUAAUAAAUAUAUUAUACAAUUAAAGUAACUUAUACUAAAUUAAACACGAUG